GCCCGUGUGGCGAAAUUGGAUAUCGCUUCGGACUUCUAAUCCGAGGAUUCAGGGUUCGAGCCCCUGCUCGGGUA
rfam:Absidia repens strain NRRL 1336 BCR42scaffold_26, whole genome shotgun sequence.